rnacentral:rRNA from 1 species
AGAGUUUGAUCAUGGCUCAGGACGAACGCUGGCGGCGUGCCUAACACAUGCAAGUCGAGCGAUUUACUUCGGUAAAGAGCGGCGGACGGGUGAGUAACGCGUGGGUAACCUGCCCUGUACACACGGAUAACAUACCGAAAGGUAUGCUAAUACGAGAUAAUAUGCUUUUAUCGCAUGGUAGAAGUAUCAAAGCUUUUGCGGUACAGGAUGGACCCGCGUCUGAUUAGCUAGUUGGUAAGAUGACGGCUUACCAAGGCGACGAUCAGUAGCCGGCCUGAGAGGGUGAUCGGCCACAUUGGAACUGAGACACGGUCCAAACUCCUACGGGAGGCAGCAGUGGGGAAUAUUGCACAAUGGGCGAAAGCCUGAUGCAGCAACGCCGCGUGAGCGAUGAAGGCCUUCGGGUCGUAAAGCUCUGUCCUCAAGGAAGAUAAUGACGGUACUUGAGGAGGAAGCCCCGG